UGAAACAAAUACCAGUUAUGCUGAUCGUGCAAAUGCAUACUGGACAGGAUACUUUACCAGUAGGGCAGCUAUCAAACGCUAUGUCAGAUAAAUGAGUGGCUAUUAUUUGGUAUAAUUUGUAUAUUUGUAGUUUACAAGGUAGUCAAUGUCUUCCACUGGUGUUUGGAUAUUUACUUUCUACCAAUAAAUUAUUAGGCUGCAAGACAACUAGAGUUUUUUAGGGGGAGAAGGAAUUCAGGGCCAAAUACAGACUCAUUAGCUGAUGCUUUAGCAAUUGCGCAACACCAUGAUGCAGUCACUGGCACAGAAAAGCAGCAUGUGGCUAAUGAUUAUUCUAAACAAUUGUCAAUAGGCUACAAGGAGGCGGAGGAUUUGGUUUCAUCAUCGCUGGCUUGGUUGAUUGAGUCACCGUUGCUUACUACAUGUCAAAACCCAGUUACAAAGUUUCAACAAGUGAAAGAGCUCAAAUCCUUUUAAUGUCCACUUUUGAACAUAAAUUGCUGUCCUGCAUCAGAAGUUGAUCUGGUUCAAGGAAAGAAUUUGUUUACAACUCUCUAGGCUGGAGGAGGAAUGAAGUGAUUCUGAUUCCGGGGAGUGAUGUCACUCUAGUAUUUCUUGAUUGCUAGGGCCGGUCGUGAUUUUGUGUCCUAGGCGGUGUGAGAAAAUUAUGUCUUCAUAAUCAAGAUUCUUCAAAAUAACAUUUUCGGUAGAAAUUAAAGACUAUUAAGCUACCCUGGGAAAUAAUAAAUCACAAAUAGGAAUGAAGUGAUUCGGAUUACAUUAAUAACAUUAAAUAACAAAAAUAGGUUUAUUUAUUAAUAUAUUUGUUUAAAUAUUA